GCAGGGCUACACAUGCAGUCGAGCGGUAGCACAGAGAGCUUGCUCUCGGGUGACGAGCGGCGGACGGGUGAGUAAUGUCUGGGAAACUGCCUGAUGGAGGGGGAUAACUACUGGAAACGGUAGCUAAUACCGCAUAACGUCGCAAGACCAAAGUGGGGGACCUUCGGGCCUCAUGCCAUCAGAUGUGCCCAGAUGGGAUUAGCUAGUAGGUGGGGUAAUGGCUCACCUAGGCGACGAUCCCUAGCUGGUCUGAGAGGAUGACCAGCCACACUGGAACUGAGACACGGUCCAGACUCCUACGGGAGGCAGCAGUGGGGAAUAUUGCACAAUGGGCGCAAGCCUGAUGCAGCCAUGCCGCGUGUAUGAAGAAGGCCUUCGGGUUGUAAAGUACUUUCAGCGAGGAGGAAGGCGUUAAGGUUAAUAACCUUAGCGAUUGACGUUACUCGCAGAAGAAGCACCGGCUAACUCCGUGCCAGCAGCCGCGGUAAUACGGAGGGUGCAAGCGUUAAUCGGAAUUACUGGGCGUAAAGCGCACGCAGGCGGUCUGUCAAGUCGGAUGUGAAAUCCCCGGGCUCAACCUGGGAACUGCAUUCGAAACUGGCAGGCUAGAGUCUUGUAGAGGGGGGUAGAAUUCCAGGUGUAGCGGUGAAAUGCGUAGAGAUCUGGAGGAAUACCGGUGGCGAAGGCGGCCCCCUGGACAAAGACUGACGCUCAGGUGCGAAAGCGUGGGGAGCAAACAGGAUUAGAUACCCUGGUAGUCCACGCCGUAAACGAUGUCGACUUGGAGGUUGUGCCCUUGAGGCGUGGCUUCCGGAGCUAACGCGUUAAGUCGACCGCCUGGGGAGUACGGCCGCAAGGUUAAAACUCAAAUGAAUUGACGGGGGCCCGCACAAGCGGUGGAGCAUGUGGUUUAAUUCGAUGCAACGCGAAGAACCUUACCUACUCUUGACAUCCAGAGAACUUAGCAGAGAUGCUUUGGUGCCUUCGGGAACUCUGAGACAGGUGCUGCAUGGCUGUCGUCAGCUCGUGUUGUGAAAUGUUGGGUUAAGUCCCGCAACGAGCGCAACCCUUAUCCUUUGUUGCCAGCGGUCCGGCCGGGAACUCAAAGGAGACUGCCAGUGAUAAACUGGAGGAAGGUGGGGAUGACGUCAAGUCAUCAUGGCCCUUACGAGUAGGGCUACACACGUGCUACAAUGGCAUAUACAAAGAGAAGCGACCUCGCGAGAGCAAGCGGACCUCAUAAAGUAUGUCGUAGUCCGGAUUGGAGUCUGCAACUCGACUCCAUGAAGUCGGAAUCGCUAGUAAUCGUAGAUCAGAAUGCUACGGUGAAUACGUUCCCGGGCCUUGUACACACCGCCCGUCACACCAUGGGAGUGGGUUGCAAAAGAAGUAGGUAGCUUAACCUUCGGAGGCGCUACACUUUG
rnacentral:rRNA from 1 species